rnacentral:lncRNA from 1 species
UAGUGCAUUGGCCAGCGACUUGUUACCAAAGCUUCCCAAAUGACUUCUGGGAAUCGCAGUUUUCUGGCCCUGGCAACCGUUUCCAGGGACUCAUUUUCAGCCAGCCGCUUGUUUUAAAGUCGUCUGUGCUGUUUUACUAAAGAUGGGCUCCACGUGGCCAGAAGUGGACUUGCAAGUUCCUAGUACUCUGAGGCACAGGAGUGGCGGGGCUGAUUUCCAAACUCCAGCCAGCGUGAGUAGGCGAACGUGUUCCAUGCUUGGAGAACCACGAGCCUGCUAUGCCAGAGAAGUCAAGUCGUUCCCCCAAGGAAAGUCCUGCUAGUCAGCGGCCACUCUCUCGGUUUCCGGGUCUGCUUACCCUAGAGGACGUGAAGUUGGUAAACCUUGGCCAGAAAUACGGAAAUGAUACGGUGGUGGAGACUUGGAAAUUUGGUAAUCG